ACGCCAUCAGGACACGCAGGUUGAUUUUGUCCUCCUACACCAGACGCCAUCAGGACACGCAGGUUGAUUUUGUCCUCCUACACCAGACGCCAUCAGGACACGCAGGUUGAAAUGUCAAAACAAACUCUGAACCAACUACAUUAAUUUGGGGACAGGUCAAAAAGCAUUAAACAUUUAUGGUAAUUUAGCUAGCUAGCUUGAUGUUUCUAGCUAAUUUGUCCUGGGAUAUAAUCAUUGGGUUGUUAUUUGACCUGAAAUGCACAAGGUCCACUACUUCGACAAUUAAUCCACAGAUAAAAGGGUAAACCUAGUACUAGAAAUGAAAUCUCUCCUCCUUCAGGCUUCUUCUUCUUUGGACUUUAUAUGGUGGUUGGAAACCAACUUUAAGGUGCAUUACCACCACCAAGUUGAUUGGAGUGUGGACCUCAGUUCAUCUUUCAAUCACCCAUGUGGGUAUAUGCUCCUAAAAACCAAUGAGGAGAUGGGAGAGGCGGGACUUGCAGCGCAUCAAGCGUCACAAAUGGAACCAAAUUCUAUUUUAGCGCCUGGCUACGCAGAUGCUCGUUGACGCGCACGGACAGUGUGGGUGCAAUGAUUGAAUAACAUUUGUGUACAUUUAUUUUGUGACGCGAGCGGCGUGGUCAGCAUGUUAUAGUUUGGGUUCUGAUGGAUACAACAGUUCAUGAGGCGUUUGAGUUCUAUUCUUCAAGAAUCAAUAUCAGUAGUGUAGCAACUGCAGAUUGCUCCUUUAACAGACUAUAUGGUUAAAACCCUUCAAAAUCAAUAUCUGUCUGAUUACUGCCCUUAUCAAUACACUGAACUGGAGACACAGGAGGGAACGGGACAACCCACAGCAAACUCCUCCAUCAAAUAAUGAAUUCAUCAACCAAUCAAUCUCUCAAUAAACCAAUCAAUCAAACGUACAUCAAUCAUAUGAUCUGUUCUGUUAUGAAGGUGGUAAAGAGAGAACCAGCUGCUGGAGACACAACCACUACUGAAGGGACUGCCCAGCAGAGCCAGAACAGCUCACCUCUCACUGUGAAAGAGGAACCGGUUGACUCCACAGUACCGUCCCAGCCCCCUAGAGGAGAGAAGAGGAACAAGAGGAGGAGCAACCCUGUGGUUGGUGUGAACUUCCUGGUCCAGGUGUCCCACAGGAGAAGGAAACAGUACUACUGUCAGCUAUGUUCUGUCAGGAUGAAACACGCUAUUACUGAUCACAUGACCAGCCUCAGCCACCGACACAACUAUGUGGUGCGUGUGUUUUUAAGUCAAUCUUUAUUUAGUAAGGUGUGCAUCAUUACAGGGAUGUCAAUCGAUAACCAUUUAUUUUGGGGAUGUUUGACAUGCAUUAAAUUUCGCUUGUUGUCUUUUGUAGAGGUUGAAGUACCCUGGUUGGACCUCCAGCCCGGUGGAGAUGGAGAAGAAGCUGUUCAAAAUGGCCGUUCACCUGGAGAAGGUCGACAGAGACGCAGGAAUGGGCAUGCAGGUCAACACACACACACUGAAAGUUUACAAUUGUCGGGGUGGAAGGUGUCUGUGCUUCGUUCAUUGGGGCCUGCUUCCUGCGUCAGUCAGGUUGUCUCUGUCACAAAGCAUGAUGAACCCUGUUGACUGUUGCGUACUGUUACAGGAAAAUUGUGUGCCUCUUUCCUGUAAAUUAAAUUCAAACUAUUUUAGGUCCCACAGACACACACAGACUCACACUAACACCAAACACAUACACCACUAGCACCAAACUCUCAUGCUCUACUAGCACCAAACUCACACUCUACUAGCACCAAACUCACACUCUACUAGCAGCAAACUCACACUCUACUAGCACCAAACUCACACUCUACUAGCACCAAACUCACACUCUACUAGCACCAAACUCACACUCUACUAGCACCAAACUCACGCUCUACUAGCACCAAACUCACACUAGCACCAAACUCACACUCUACUAGCACCAAAUUCACACUCUACUAGCACCAAACUCACACUCUACUAGCUCCAAAUUCACACUCUAGUAGCACCAAAUUCACACUCUAGUAGCACCAAACUCACGCUCUACUAGCACCAAACUCACACGCUCUACUAGCACCAAACUCACACGCUCUACUAGCACCAAACUCACACGCUCUACUAGCACCAAACUGACACGCUCUACUAGCACCAAACUCACACGCUCUACUAGCACCAAACUCACACGCUCUACUAGCACCAAACUCACACUAGCACCAAAUUCACGCUCUACUAGCACCAAACUCACGCUCUACUAGCACCAAACUCACACACUACUAGCACCAAACUCACACUCUACUAGCACCAAACUCACACUCUACUAGCACCAAAUUCACACUCUACUAGCACCAAAUCCACACUCUACUAGCACCAAAUUCACACUCUACUAGCACCAAACUCACACUCUACUAGCACCAAACUCACACACUACUAGCACCAAACUCACACACUACUAGCACCAAACUCACACACUACUAGCACCAAACUCAUACUAGCACCAAAUUCACACUCUACUAGCUCCAAAUUCACACUCUACUAGCACCAAACUCACACUCUACUAGCACCAAAUUCACACUCUACUAGCACCAAAUUCACACUCUACUAGCACCAAAUUCACACUCUACUAGCACCAAAUUCACGCUCUACUAGCACCAAACUCACGCUCUACUAGCACCAAACUCACGCGCUCUACUAGCACCAAACUCACACGCUCUACUAGCACCAAACUCACGCGCUCUACUAGCACCAAACUCACGCGCUCUACUAGCGCCAAACUCACGCGCUCUACUAGCGCCAAACUCACGCGCUCUACUAGCGCCAAACUCACGCGCUCUACUAGCGCCAAACUCACGCGCUCUACUAGCGCCAAACUCACGCGCUCUACUAGCGCCAAACUCACGCGCUCUACUAGCGCCAAACUCACACGCUCUACUAGCACCAAACUCACACUAGCUCCAAUCUCACACUCCACUAGCACCAAACACAUUUGCUGAUGUUCUCUCUCUGUGUAACAGAAGGUAGAAGUGGAAGCUGAUGAGUACAAAGAGCUGUUGUCCUUUCCUGUGGAGGAAGGUAAGCUUGGACAAAGGAAAAAUCCACCCCAUUUUGAAUGUUAUAUUGUUUUUUGUGCAUUUCUGGGCGCUGUUGUAUCGGUUUGAGGGGUCAUGUUUUCAUAUGUAUCUGGGCUAUUGCAGGCAGAAAUACAGCCGGUAUGACAAGUUGUAUUUCUGCCUGCGUGAACUGCAAUAGCUAAGAUAAACAUGAAAUGACCCCAGGAAUCGAUAGAACAUCGCUCAGAGAUGCACAAAAUAACAUUCUAAAUGGGUUAAUCUUUCUUUGAAUUACUGUGGUUGAUAUAUGGUUGUU
rnacentral:lncRNA from 1 species